rnacentral:lncRNA from 1 species
AUGGUUCCACCUCCAGCAAUUCUGACCCAGUCGCGAUGGGGUGACGCCUGCGCAGUGCGGGGUUUCCAAGCUCCGCAGGUGAUCCUACUGUGCAGCGAAAACGCUUCUCACCUGGAGGCCUCGCCGCAGGAGGCUGGCAUCACCAUGGCUGGCGCUGCUUUCUCGGCUUUGUCCGACGUUCCAUCCUGCUCAGAAAGAAGCACCUCCAGAGCCCAGUAGAACCAGGACCAGGAGUGGCCAGCGAUGCCCAGCCCAGAUGUAGAGUGGAGGCCCCUGUGACAGGCAGACAAGCCGUGGCUGCAGGGAUGGCAUUGGGCGCCUUCUGCCAGCCCGGCCCAGGCAAGGUGAGUGACGUGGGACUGUGUGGCUGCGGCCAUCCCUUGGCCUUCCCCAGAGGUGCACAAAGCCAUCCUCUCCUUGGGACAGCCACCCCAAGCCCUGCCUCUACCCUUUUCUCCCUUUAGGGUUCGUUCCCCACCCCCAGGAGGGAUCCUGGGACCCAGCACCAAAAUCCUGGGACCGACAUAUACUGCUGGCAACCAGGAGCACUCAAGACAGGAAGGUAAGCCAGCAAGGGACAUCUGUGUUCCUCUGUAGGAAAAAAAUUGGGAAGGAAUUUCCUUGUGACGCAGUGGGUUAAGAAUCCAGUGUUGUCACUGCAGCGGCUCAGGUUGCUGCUGUGGUAUGGGUUCGAUCCCUGGCCCGGGAACUUUUGCAUGCCACAGGCACUGCCAAAAAUGAAAAAACAUUGGGCGAAAUGAAAAGUGUUCCCAACUUUUAUCAUCCUUGGGCUCAGCAAGGCUCUUGAACAUCAAGACUGGAGCAUCGAGUGAGAUGAGGCGUCAACUCUGUAACAGCCACCUGCAGCUGUUAGCACUUCACAACUGGAACAUGGGUUUGCUGGUGUUUUCUUAGGAGAUGCACAGCUAGCCUGUGAGAAGGUGUCAUGAUUUUCCCCAUGUCACAAAUGCGUAAAUGGGGGGUCAGAGACCUUAGGUGAUUAGCCCUGGGUUGCACAGCUAGGACAAAGAAUAAGAAUGUAAAUGUUUUGGCUCCAAAAUACUGGCUAUAUCGAGCUGCUGACAGCCUUUUAAAACUAUGAAGUGUUACACAAACGUCAGGCAUUAAUAAUUAUUAUCACUUCCACCAUGUGGAGCUUGGCUCGAAGCCCCAGGACAGCCGGCCCUUGAGCCCUGCGGCACAGCACACACUCCCCGUUCCAUUUGCCUGUCUCAAGUUGACCCCCAGUGAAGAGCUGCGUUUAGGGAGGGUGGAGCUAUCUUGAGACUCUCCUGGCCAAGGCUCCGGGCUCCCCACAAAAUGCGAAUCCCUGUGCGGUUUCACAUAAGUCUUUGUGCGGUCUGGCUGUUUAGACGCCAAGCCUGUAAAGAGACAGUGAGGUCCUGCAAAGCUGCCCCACUGCUCCAAAAGCAAUUCUCUGGAGUGGGGCACACAUGGAAUAGAUAAGGACAGCCUGUCUGAUGUGGUGUAAGGCUGGGGGCGGAGGGGGGGGCGCGGGGGGGGUUGUGACCAGCCCUGGGGGAUGCGCCUGUAGGCAUCUCAGUGUCUCAAAGCCAUCCAGGCUUCUCAAGGCAUCGCCUCCUGUUUUCCCCAAGAUUUGCUUUUGCUGAAACAUGAAUUCCCACCUCUUCAGGGUUGCAAAAGGUGGAGUAAUGCAGAAGAAAGGGCAGAGAAAGUGGGGGAAGGUUCUGAGGUUGCAGGAAGUCAAAUACUCCCGAGGAAACAUUUCAAUGUAUAAAAGGCUGAGAAACAUAUGGAUUGAAUUUUCCCAAAGAGUACACAAAGAAUUUAAAAAUUAAAGGGGAAGGGUGGGGGUUGGAUUUUUUUUUUUUCCAGAUGAUUGGGUGUUUGUUCCCCCAAAGCAUAUUUUGGGGAAUUUUACUGGCAGCCAAACCACUUAAAACAUCCUGAGAUAUUAACCAGACCCAGAGUCAUCCUAGUGACCUGGCACCCAGCUCGGCAGGUUAGCAAGCUGUCUGCCCCUCCCUGUUUCUGAGCACACGCUUUCCUGCCUUGCUCCACACCCAGAGGCUGCAGAGAGAGAAGGAGAUGAUGAUUUCACGUAUUCCCACUGCCAGCUGGCUCGCUUUAACUGCAUUCUGCAGAGGCUGGGGUCCAUCCACGCUGAGCUCCAGAGUGGUGACUAAUCAAAGUCAAGGGUAACCACGGGUCUGUCCUGAACCUCUGCACGCUGCUCCAGUUACCUCCUCUGACCAGUGGGAAUAAUAACAGCACUUAUCUCAGAGUUCCCAUUGUGGCUCAGUGGUAAGGAACCCAACUAGUAUCCACAAGGAUGCGGGUUCUAUCCCUGGCCUCCCUCAGAGGAUUAAAGGAUCCGGCGUUGCCGUGAGCUGUGGCAUAGGUCGUAGAUGCGGCUCAGAUCUGGCCUGGCUGUGGCUGUGGCAUAGGCUGGCAGCUGUAGCUCUGAUUCAACCCCUAGCCUGGGAACUUCCAUAUGCCUCAGGUGUGGCCCUAAAAAGACCAAAAAAAAAAAAAAAGUAGCACUUAUAUUUCAUUAUUGAGAAUGAAAUGGAUACAUACAUGUAAAAUGCUUAGAUCUGUGCCUUGCAAACUUUAAAUGUUUGCACUAAAAAAAAAAAAAAAAAAAAAAAA